rnacentral:lncRNA from 1 species
CUCAAAGCUGCGGACUGGGGGGUGGGCUGGAUCAGAGUGAACAGGAGCGGGCAGGCUGGAGUUGGGACACAUUCUCCAGCCUCUUCUGUUUGCAGGUGCCUGAGGACACCUUCAAACCUUCUCUGCUCCGUUGUAGAACUUUUUCCAGCAAGGGGGAGAGGAAGGACAAAAGGCUAUGCCUUGGGCUCCAAAGUUUAGGAGAGGAGCCAUGGAGAUGGACAGAGAGAGAUCCCAUUGUCUCUGGACACUGCUGGCCAAGGGCCUCCACCUCAGGAGCUGCUGCCUCUCAUCCACUUCCGGGGCGAGGGUAAUGGAAGCUCCCUACCGCCAAGCACCACGACCCUCCCCUGCCUUCUCCAGGCCUAAGGGUCAAGCUGCCAGGCCACCAGGCAGUGCCAGGUCCUGGCACAGGCUAGGUGCCUUCUGACUGUUGGUUGAUGCAGGAAUAGACAUGAUCAUGUGACUGCUGCCCUCCCUCCAACCCCCAUCCAGCAGGGAGAGGCCCACUCUGGCCUCUGGAAGCCGGAGAAGAGGCUCACCUGCCCAAAGGCCUUCUGUCCAAAGUUCAAGGGAGCCCCACCCCUCCCAGAUGCUCAGCUCACCCCACCCCCAACAGGCAGGGCUACAGUGUGGUGGGCACUGCCACACCCGGACCUGCCACAACCUCUUGGAGUCAGUGACAAGAACCAAACGCACCCCAGCCUCCACCCCUCCCCUUUCCUGCUUUUAUUAUUUUCUUUUCCAUAAAGAUUAGUCUGUGUUGCUCCUCUAUCAAGGCCUGGAGGAUAAACAUGUGGUCCGGAGGCAGAGAAACCCCAGGCCUGAAGGCCCCACUGCCCCCACCCCAGCAGCAUAAACCCAGGGCUUUUAAGCAAGGAAUGGUUUUCAGUAAAUCUCUCCUAUCAGCAGAAACCUUUGAAAGAGUUUGUUUAAAGGCCAGGGAGAUAAACAGCAAGGAGAAGUGUUUGUUUAAGAUGUAUGUUCUGUGUGGCCACUCUGGGGCCCGGAUUUACAUCUCUGGGGAGAGGAACCACUCGGAGGCCAGGGUGGGGGCCUUCCAGGGGCACCUUGGGCUCCCGGUGUGGACUUCAGCCCAGGCAGGGACCCAUGAGCUCAGGGGAGGGAAGUUAGCUGGACUGCACUCACAGGCCUCUCCAGGCUUGGGGCAAGAAAGCAGGGGCUGAAAGGAGCUGCAGGAAGGGAAGAAGCCCUGUAAAGGAGGGGAGGGGUGCCUGGAAGGACCUGCUGGUUGGAAUGCAGGCAGAAAUCCCCUAGGAAGCCACCAAACACACACACACACACACACACACACACACACAAAGCUCAGAACAGGCUCAGGCUCAAGGCCCACCCCAAACAGCCUCAUACUCAGCAGCCCAAUACACAGCUGGGUAUGGCCAGCUCUGUGACCUUGGACAAGCCACCUAACCCAGAACUAGAGCCCUAGUUCCUCUCUGCUGUGAAAACAACACACCUGCCUCAAAGGGUUUUGAGUUUUCCUCCUGUCAUUUGACAGAUAUCGCUUGUACACCUACCGUAUGUCAGGCACUGUUCUAGGUGCUUGGGAUGCAACAGUAAACAAAAUACAGCCUCUGUCCUUUUGGAACUUAAAGAGGAGGAAGAUAGGCAAUGAGCACAAUAAUCAGUAAAUUAAAUACUCUUCGGAAGGUGACAUGAGCUAUAGAAAGAAAUAAAGCGGGUACAAAGACCUGGGAAAGGAUGGUUAGGUUGGACCUCCCAGAGAAGGUGGUCCUUCAAGGAGAUGCAGGUAUCUGAGGGGAGAGAAGCUCAGGCAGAACCCUCAGCCAGGGCAAAAGCCUGGAGGAUUGAAUAAAAUACCUUAGGGUAGGUGCUGAAGCAUAGUCCUGUGGUCAGUAAAUAACGUCCAAUGUUGUCAUUAUACUGAAGCAGUUACUGAGGCCUGGGAUGGGCAGGGAAGCCUUCAGGGAGGAUGCAGGACUUAAGCUGGGUUUUCCCUGGAAUUCCUUCUCCCUGCCAAGUGGAGAGAAAGGCCCUGCAGAAAAGCAUCAUGGAGGUAGAGAGACAGGAGAAUGAUGGCAGAGCUCAUUCCCCAAACCCAGUGGUGGCCAAGGGGUGUAGGGACCAACGCAGCUGGAUUCUCAAGGAAAGUCUUUGGCCUGGGUCAGGAGUCUGGGCUCCCAGUUCUGGCUCUGCCCCUUGCUGGCAGGUGAUUUGGGGCAAGUGAUUUGAAGCUUCUUGCGUCCUUCUUUUCUCUACGGUAAAAUGGGAAUAAUAUAUCCUCCCUUCAUUGAAUUGGUUGAGAGGAUGAAAAGAGAUAUGGGGCCAGGCGCAGUGGUGCACACCUGUAAUCCCAGCACUUUGGGAGGCCGAGGCGGGCGGGUUGCCUAAGCUCAGGAGUUUGAGACCAGCCUGGGCAACACAGUGAAAUCCCAUCUCUACUAAAAUACAAAAAAUUAGCUGAGCAUGGCGGCAUGAGCCUGUAGUCCCAGCUAUUUGGGAGGCUGAGGCAGGAGAAUUGUUUGAACCUGGGAGGUGGAGGCUGCAGUGAGCUGAGAUCGUGCCACUGCACUCCAGCCUGGGUGACAGAGCGAGACUCCGUCUCCAAAAAAAGAAAAAAAAGAAAAGAGAUAUGGUGGGUGUUUCUGCCUGGAACAUAGCAGAUGCUCAAUAAACAUUGGAUUUGCAUUUUGGGCUGUCCUGUGCCCUUUCAGACUCCUUUUGGGCACUUUCCUGAAAGGAUGAGCCAGAUGGUGAUGAGUCUACUGGGUCCCAGACUUGGAGGAGAAGACGACUAAUAGCUGAGCAUGGUCCCCACGUAGCUGAAGGGCUGUCCCGCCAGAGAAAGCCUAGAUUUGUUCCAAAGGGGCUCCAAAAGGAAGGAAGAAGUUUCACGGACACAGAUUUUCAUUUGCACUCAGGAGGAAUUUGGCAAUGGUCCGGGCUAUUUAACAGCAGGAUGGACCUCUAUAGAGACAGCUAGCUCGUGCUAUUAGGAAUUGUGUGGGCAGAGGUGGCUGAG